GCGAUUCGGCAUGAUCUGAUUUUAUUGAUUAUCUUGUUUUUACUUGAUGUUUUUUGAUUUAUUUGUCUGAAGAAUCCUUUGUGUUUUUGUAUAUUUGUGAUUUAAUUCCUUUUACUAUAGAUUACUUGUACCGUAGGGGUAUGUUUGUUUAACUUAUUUUUAAAAGCUGACUUUGUUUGUUGUACCUUGUGUAUCAGGGUUCAUUGAAUUUUAUUAUUUAUUUUUAUUUCCCGAUUUUGAAGGAGUUAAUGGUUUAUUUUGGUUAUUGUUUCAUCAAUAUUAACAAUAUAUCGUUGGUAGUGAAAUGUUAUUCGUCUUUAAUGGUUUCUGGUUUUCUGAGAAAUGAAUUCAAUUCAUGCUCUUUGUUUAAUUUUUACUUUUACUUUAUUCAUUUUUAUUUGGUGUUAAGAUUAGGGGGGAUUAGCUCUUUAUUUUAUUUUUUAUAAUUUUGUGCUUUAUUUAGUUUUGUGGAUUUUAUAUUGAUUUUCAAUUUGAUUAUGUUAAAAUUUUAUUUGGUGAUUUGUUUAUUUGUUUUUAAUUUAAUCUGUUUAUUAGAAUGUUUUCUUUAACUUUUUGUUUGGUUAGUAAUGAUUGUGUAAUUAGUAAAUUUCAUUUUAUAUAGUUUAUUCUGUGUGAAAUUCUUUUGAGGAAUUCGGCAAUAUUUCAUGCCCGCCUGUUUAACAAAAACAUCUCUUCUUGUUAGUUUUUGAAGUAUGGCCUGCCCACUGACUUUUUGUUGAAGGGCCGCGGUAUUUUGACCGUGCAAAGGUAGCAUAAUCAUUAGUUCUUUAAUUGUGAUCUGGUAUGAAUGGCUUGACGAGACAUGAGCUGUCUUAUGGUUGAAUAUUUGAUUGAAUUUGGUCUUUGAGUUAAAAUUCUUAAAUAUUUUUAUGGGACGAGAAGACCCUAUAGAGUUUUAUAUUUUAUUUGCUUUAAUUUUUAGUUUGUUUUAUUUUUAAAGUGGUUGUAGUAUUUUGUUGGGGUGAUGGGAGGAAUUUAUUUAACUCCUCUUUAUUUGGUAUACUUAUUUGUAUUGGUUUGAUCCAUUUAUUUUGAUUAUAAGAUUAAAUUACCUUAGGGAUAACAGCGUUAUCUUCCUUGAGAGUUCUUAUUGGCGGGGAGGUUUGCGACCUCGAUGUUGGAUUAAGGUUAAUUUUUGGUGUAGGAGCUAAAAGUGAUUAGGUCUGUUCGACCUUUAAAAUCUUACAUGAUCUGAGUUCAGACCGGCGUGAGCCAGGUUGGUUUCUAUCUAUAAUGUUGUUUAUACCUUAGUACGAGAGGACCGGGUAUUUGGAAUAAUUUUGUUAUUAUGAUUAUUAUUAAUGUUGUUGCUAUUUUGGCAGAUAAGUGCAUUGGAUUUAGAAUCUAUUAA
rnacentral:rRNA from 1 species